UUUGGGCCAUAUCGAAGCCUGCAAUGUCGGUUCAAAUGCUGCUUGCUGGUCAAUAACUGGCAUAUAUUGAAUGUGUUAUAAUGGUCGCAGCUCAGUUUGUACGUACUGAGAUCUGCAUUACCCAAUAAGACGACAUUU